rnacentral:rRNA from 1 species
UUGUUCUUUAAAUGGGGACUUGUAUCAACGGCACCACGAGGGUUAGACUGUCUCCUUUUUCAAAUCAGUGAAAUUAAUCUCCCCGUGAAGAAGCGGGGAUACUCAUAUAAGACGAGAAGACCCCAUGGAGCUUCAAACCCAACUACACCCCUAGCUCUUAUAGCCCCACAACCCCCCCCCCC